AGAGUUUGAUCCUGGCUCAGAAUCAACGCUGGCGGCGNNNNUACACAUGCAAGUCGAACGAGAAAGUGGAGCAAUCCAUGAGUAAAGUGGCGCACGGGUGAGUAACACGUGGAUCAUCUACCUUUUAGUGGGGAAUACCUCUGGGAAACCGGAGACAAUACCGCAUAAGCCCGCAAGGGGAAAGCAGCAAUGCGCUGAAAGAGGAGUCCGCGGCCGAUUAGCUAGUUGGCGGGGUAACGGCCCACCAAGGCGAAGAUCGGUAGCCGGCCUGAGAGGGCACACGGCCACACUGGCACUGAAACACGGGCCAGACUCCUACGGGAGGCAGCAGUGGGGAAUCUUGCACAAUGGCGAAAGCCUGAUGCAGCGACGCCGCGUGAGCGAUGAANNCUUCGGGGUGUAAAGCUCUUUCGACGGGAACGAUAAUGACGGUACCCGGAGAAGAAGCUGCGGCUAACUACGUGCCAGCAGCCGCGGUAAUACGUAGGCAGCGAGCGUUGUUCGGAAUUACUGGGCGUAAAGAGUGUGUAGGCGGUGUUCCCAGUCUGUUGUGAAAUCUCCCGGCUUAACUGGGAGGGUGCAGCGGAAACUAGAAUGCUAGAGGGUGGGAGAGGUAAGCGGAAUUCCUGGUGUAGCGGUGAAAUGCGUAGAUAUCAGGAGGANNNCCUGUGGUGUAGACAGCUUACUGGACCACUUCUGACGCUGAGACACGAAAGCGUGGGUAGCAAACAGGAUUAGAUACCCUAGUAGUCC
rnacentral:rRNA from 1 species